AAAUUGAAGAGUUUGAUCAUGGCUCAGAUUGAACGCUGGCGGCAGGCCUAACACAUGCAAGUCGAACGGUAACAGGAAGCAGCUUGCUGCUUUGCUGACGAGUGGCGGACGGGUGAGUAAUGUCUGGGAAACUGCCUGAUGGAGGGGGAUAACUACUGGAAACGGUGGCUAAUACCGCAUAACGUCGCAAGACCAAAGAGGGGGACCUUCGGGCCUCUUGCCAUCAGAUGUGCCCAGAUGGGAUUAGCUUGUUGGUGAGGUAACGGCUCACCAAGGCGACGAUCCCUAGCUGGUCUGAGAGGAUGACCAGCCACACUGGAACUGAGACACGGUCCAGACUCCUACGGGAGGCAGCAGUGGGGAAUAUUGCACAAUGGGCGCAAGCCUGAUGCAGCCAUGCCGCGUGUAUGAAGAAGGCCUUCGGGUUGUAAAGUACUUUCAGCGGGGAGGAAGGUGUUGUGGUUAAUAACCGCAGCAAUUGACGUUACCCGCAGAAGAAGCACCGGCUAACUCCGUGCCAGCAGCCGCGGUAAUACGGAGGGUGCAAGCGUUAAUCGGAAUUACUGGGCGUAAAGCGCACGCAGGCGGUCUGUCAAGUCGGAUGUGAAAUCCCCGGGCUCAACCUGGGAACUGCAUUCGAAACUGGCAGGCUUGAGUCUUGUAGAGGGGGGUAGAAUUCCAGGUGUAGCGGUGAAAUGCGUAGAGAUCUGGAGGAAUACCGGUGGCGAAGGCGGCCCCCUGGACAAAGACUGACGCUCAGGUGCGAAAGCGUGGGGAGCAAACAGGAUUAGAUACCCUGGUAGUCCACGCCGUAAACGAUGUCUACUUGGAGGUUGUGCCCUUGAGGCGUGGCUUCCGGAGCUAACGCGUUAAGUAGACCGCCUGGGGAGUACGGCCGCAAGGUUAAAACUCAAAUGAAUUGACGGGGGCCCGCACAAGCGGUGGAGCAUGUGGUUUAAUUCGAUGCAACGCGAAGAACCUUACCUGGUCUUGACAUCCACAGAAUUCUGCAGAGAUGCGGAAGUGCCUUCGGGAACUGUGAGACAGGUGCUGCAUGGCUGUCGUCAGCUCGUGUUGUGAA
rnacentral:rRNA from 1 species